AUGGCUUCCUCUGCUGGCGUCGCGCUCAACCUCGGUUCGCCGCCAUCUGAGAAGCUCGCAAGAGGAAACUUUAUCCUCUGGAAGACUCAGGUGCUCCCAACCCUGCAAGGAGCACAGGUAACUGGACUCCUCGACAACUCAGACGCCGCUCCGUCCAGGAUGGUGGAGGUCACAAAGGCGGACAAGACCACGACCCUAGAGUUGAAUCCUCUGUACGGGCCCUGGAUCGCCAAAGACCAGCAGGUCCUAUCUUAUCUUCUGAAUUCUAUGUCGCCAGAGAUCCUUGCGCAGGUCGUCGGGAAGGACUCCGCUUUUGAGCUCUGGACGACGGUGACAAACCUCUUCGCCUCGCAGUCACAAUCUCGGAUUACCAAUCUGAGAAUCGCCAUCACCAACACCAAGAAGGGCAGCAUGUCAAGCUCGGCGUACAUGGCGAAGAUGAAGAGCCUCGGGGAUGAACUAGCUGCUGUCGGUCGUCCCGUCUCUGAUCCGGGGAUGGUGGACUACAUCUUGGCCGGACUAGACCGCGACUAUGACUCCGUGGUGGUGGCGAUCGGCGCUGUCAAGAACACCAUCACCGCUGAUGAUCUCUUCGCUCAGAUCUCUGCCUUUGAUCAAAGGAUGGAGAUGCUAGGCGAUUCAUCUUCAGGCGGGUUCCACUCAUCUGCUAUUGCGGUCUACAGAGACCGUGGACAGUCC
rnacentral:rRNA from 1 species